rnacentral:rRNA from 1 species
AGAGUUUGAUCAUGGCUCAGGAUGAACGCUAGCUACAGGCUUAACACAUGCAAGUCGAGGGGAAACGACAUCGAAAGCUUGCUUUUGAUGGGCGUCGACCGGCGCACGGGUGAGUAACGCGUAUCCAACCUGCCCAUCACUUGGGGAUAACCUUGCGAAAGUAAGACUAAUACCCAAUGACGUCUCUAGAAGACAUCUGAAAGAGAUUAAAGAUUUANCGGUGAUGGAUGGGGAUGCGUCUGAUUAGCUUGUGGCGGGUAACGCCACAAGGCGACGAUCAGUAGGGGUUCUGAGAGGAAGGUCCCCCAGAUUGGAACUGAGACACGGUCCAAACUCCUACGGGAGCA